rnacentral:rRNA from 1 species
AACGAACGCUGGCGGCAUGCCUAACACAUGCAAGUCGAACGAGACCUUCGGGUCUAGUGGCGCACGGGUGCGUAACGCGUGGGAAUCUGCCCUUGGGUUCGGAAUAACAGUUGGAAACGACUGCUAAUACCGGAUGAUGACGUAAGUCCAAAGAUUUAUCGCCCAAGGAUGAGCCCGCGUAGGAUUAGCUAGUUGGUGAGGUAAAGGCUCACCAAGGCGACGAUCCUUAGCUGGUCUGAGAGGAUGAUCAGCCACACUGGGACUGGGACACGGCCCAGACCCCUGCGGGAGGCCGCAGUGGGGAAUAUUGGACAAGGGGCGAACGCCUGACCCCGCAAGCCCGCGGGGGGGAUGAAGGCCUUGGGGUUGUAAAUCUCUUUUACCCGGGAUGAUAAUGACGGUCCCGGGAGAAUAAGCUCCGGCUAACUCCGU